AUUGAACGCUGGCGGCAUGCCUUACACAUGCAAGUCGAACGGCAGCACGGGAGCAAUCCUGGUGGCGAGUGGCGAACGGGUGAGUAAUGUAUCGGAACGUACCUUUCAGUGGGGGAUAACGUAGCGAAAGUUACGCUAAUACCGCAUAUUCUGUGAGCAGGAAAGCAGGGGAUCGCAAGACCUUGCGCUGAUUGAGCGGCCGAUAUCAGAUUAGCUAGUUGGUGAGGUAAAGGCUCACCAAGGCGACGAUCUGUAGCGGGUCUGAGAGGAUGAUCCGCCACACUGGAACUGAGACACGGUCCAGACUCCUACGGGAGGCAGCAGUGGGGAAUUUUGGACAAUGGGCGCAAGCCUGAUCCAGCCAUGCCGCGUGAGUGAAGAAGGCCUCGGUUGUAAGUUAC
rnacentral:rRNA from 1 species